UUUCGCCCUGAAAUAUUUUUCGCUCUACCACCAUGUAUAGUGUAAUAAAGCACACUUUCGCCCUAAACUAUUAUAGUUUAUAACGAGGACGCUUGCGUAGAGCGAACUGUAC